rfam:Diplodia seriata DS_831_scaffold_v01_67, whole genome shotgun sequence.
AAGACCUUAGCUUAAUGGUAAAGCAUGUGCCUUUUAAGCAUUAUUAUGUGGGUUCGAAUCCCAUAGGUCUUA